AGCUGGCAUGGCUCGGCUCAGGGUGGACUGGCACACUCCUGACCGAUCGGCCAGCUCCCGCUGGAAGGCCCCUGUUGCCAGGAACCCCAGCGUGGUCAGCACCUGUGGGCACGGACAACCCCUGGCUCCUGGCUGUGUGGCGCUCUAGGGCCGGCCGCAGCUCUGCGCACAGCUCCAGUAAUACUGGCCUGGGGAAACGAAAUCGGCUCAUGAGCCAAUCAUCAUCAUUUGCGAACCCCCGGAGUGCUGUCCCUGGGCCGGUUGAAGUCCCUUAUAUCCUCUCGUGCUGGACGUGAUGUGGACCCCUUCCUCGCAUUCAGGUACUGCAGGGCCAACUUUGUUGCCGUUAAUCCAUCUUCGGGUUCGUGUUCUCUCACCCACGUCCUGGUGUCAGGAGGAAGCACCAGAAGCAGCUGCUCCAAGAUGAUGGACUCCGCCAACUCUUCUUUGCUCCUCCGCUCCGGCCGCAUCCAACGCCGGUAGAGGCCCUUCAACCUGUGGUACGCCUCCGAUUGUGUCUCCCCAGGUGGUCCUGAAGUAGCCCGAAACCGCUGACGAUACAUCUCUGGAGAGAUGUCAAAAUUGUCCAACAGCGCCUCCCUCAGAACUUGAAAGGUUGGAGCUCCAGGUACCACCUUGUUACCCUGGCAUUCCGAUCCUUCAUUGUCUGAAUCCAGGUAAGGGCUCUGUGGUCCGUCUGGAGGUCUUGGUACGUGGUCUUGGGCUUUUCAGGAUUGCCUCCACUUUGUCCACCUGAGGCCAGACUUCGCCUCUCCCCAGCCGAUCUCCGGUCUCUCAUUUGGAGGACAAACUGUACAACACCUUGGCCCUUCUCACCGUCAGUGGUUACCUUCUUCUCCCAAUUUUGUAUCAGCAGAUCGAGAGGUCCCUGAACUGGCCAGCCAUAGAGGAGCUCGAAGGGGGAGAAUCCUGUGUAGGCUUGAGGCACUUCCCUGUAUGCAAAGAGAAGAAAUGGCCAUCUGUCUCAGGGUGAUAAGGAGACGUCCUGAUGGCAGUUAUGCCCAACUCCUUAUGUAGCUGACCCAUAAGACGGGAUGUAAAGUUGGUUCCCUGGUCGGUCAGGAUCUCCUCCGGGAUACCUGCACGAGAAAACAGCUGGACAAGAGCACUUAUCAGUUUUUGAGUGUUUAUUGACUGGAGGGGAAACGCUUCUGGAUAGCGAGUGGCAUAGUCACAUAUAACAAGAAUGUACUGAUAUCCUGCUGAGCUCUUUUCCAGGGGACCCACAAUGUCCAUUGCAAUUCGCUUGAAGGGGUGGUAAUGACUGGCAUAGCUUGGAGUGGUGCACGGUCUGAUUGACGGAUAGCACAGGUUUUUUGGCACUCUGGCCAUGCUUUGCAAUACCUCU
ensembl:lncRNA